UGGGGAAUUUUGGACAAUGGGCGAAAGCCUGAUCCAGCAAUGCCGCGUGAGUGAAGAAGGCCUUCGGGUUGUAAAGCUCUUUUGUCAGGGAAGAAACGGUGAAAGCUAAUAUCUUUUGCUAAUGACGGUACCUGAAGAAUAAGCACCGGCUAACUACGUGCCAGCAGCCGCGGUAAUACGUAGGGUGCAAGCGUUAAUCGGAAUUACUGGGCGUAAAGCGUGCGCAGGCGGUUUUGUAAGUCUGAUGUGAAAUCCCCGGGCUCAACCUGGGAAUUGCAUUGGAGACUGCAAGGCUAGAAUCUGGCAGAGGGGGGUAGAAUUCCACGUGUAGCAGUGAAAUGCGUAGAUAUGUGGAGGAACACCGAUGGCGAAGGCAGCCCCCUGGGUCAAGAUUGACGCUCAUGCACGAAAGCGUGGGGAGCAAACAGGAUUAGAUACCCUGGUAGUCCACGCCCUAAACGAUGUCUACUAGUUGUCGGGUCUUAAUUGACUUGGUAACGCUGCUAACGCGUGAAGUAGACCGCCUGGGGAGUACGGUCGCAAGAUUAAAACUCAAAUGAAUUGAC
rnacentral:rRNA from 1 species